AUCUUUUUAAUAUAAAAGUAUAAUUGACUUCCAAUCAAUAAGUCUGGUUUUCCAGAAAAGAUA
rnacentral:tRNA from 1 species